CCUACGGGCGGCUGCAGUCGAGAAUCAUUCACAAUGGGGGAAACCCUGAUGGUGCGACGCCGCGUGGGGGAAUGAAGGUCUUCGGAUUGUAAACCCCUGUCAUGUGGGAGCAAAUUAAAAAGAUAGUACCACAAGAGGAAGAGACGGCUAACUCUGUGCCAGAAGCCGCGGUAAUACAGAGGUCUCAAGCGUUGUUCGGAAUCACUGGGCGUAAAGGGUGAGUAGGCUGUUUCGUAAGUCGUGUGUGAAAGGCGCGGGCUCAACCCGCGGACGGCACAGGAUACGGCGAGACUAGAGUAAUGGAGGGGGAACCGGAAUUCUCGGUGUAGCAGUGAAAUGCGUAGAUAUCGAGAGGAACACUCGUGGCGAAGGCGGGUUCCUGGACAUUAACUGACGCUGAGGCACGAAGGCCAGGGGAGCGAAAGGGAUUAGAUACCCGUGUAGUC
rnacentral:rRNA from 1 species